GAUGAACGCUGGCGGCGUGCCUAAUACAUGCAAGUCGAGCGAACGGACGAGAAGCUUGCUUCUCUGAUGUUAGCGGCGGACGGGUGAGUAACACGUGGAUAACCUACCUAUAAGACUGGGAUAACUUCGGGAAACCGGAGCUAAUACCGGAUAAUAUUUUGAACCGCAUGGUUCAAAAGUGAAAGACGGUCUUGCUGUCACUUAUAGAUGGAUCCGCGCUGCAUUAGCUAGUUGGUAAGGUAACGGCUUACCAAGGCAACGAUGCAUAGCCGACCUGAGAGGGUGAUCGGCCACACUGGAACUGAGACACGGUCCAGACUCCUACGGGAGGCAGCAGUAGGGAAUCUUCCGCAAUGGGCGAAAGCCUGACGGAGCAACGCCGCGUGAGUGAUGAAGGUCUUCGGAUCGUAAAACUCUGUUAUUAGGGAAGAACAUAUGUGUAAGUAACUGUGCACAUCUUGACGGUACCUAAUCAGAAAGCCACGGCUAACUACGUGCCAGCAGCCGCGGUAAUACGUAGGUGGCAAGCGUUAUCCGGAAUUAUUGGGCGUAAAGCGCGCGUAGGCGGUUUUUUAAGUCUGAUGUGAAAGCCCACGGCUCAACCGUGGAGGGUCAUUGGAAACUGGAAAACUUGAGUGCAGAAGAGGAAAGUGGAAUUCCAUGUGUAGCGGUGAAAUGCGCAGAGAUAUGGAGGAACACCAGUGGCGAAGGCGACUUUCUGGUCUGUAACUGACGCUGAUGUGCGAAAGCGUGGGGAUCAAACAGGAUUAGAUACCCUGGUAGUCCACGCCGUAAACGAUGAGUGCUAAGUGUUAGGGGGUUUCCGCCCCUUAGUGCUGCAGCUAACGCAUUAAGCACUCCGCCUGGGGAGUACGACCGCAAGGUUGAAACUCAAAGGAAUUGACGGGGACCCGCACAAGCGGUGGAGCAUGUGGUUUAAUUCGAAGCAACGCGAAGAACCUUACCAAAUCUUGACAUCCUUUGACAACUCUAGAGAUAGAGCUUUCCCCUUCGGGGGACAAAGUGACAGGUGGUGCAUGGUUGUCGUCAGCUCGUGUCGUGAGAUGUUGGGUUAAGUCCCGCAACGAGCGCAACCCUUAAGCUUAGUUGCCAUCAUUAAGUUGGGCACUCUAAGUUGACUGCCGGUGACAAACCGGAGGAAGGUGGGGAUGACGUCAAAUCACCAUGCCCCUUAUGAUUUGGGCUACACACGUGCUACAAUGGACAAUACAAAGGGCAGCGAAACCGUGAGGUCAAGCAAAUCCCAUAAAGUUGUUCUCAGUUCGGAUUGUAGUCUGCAACUCGACUACAUGAAGCUGGAAUCGCUAGUAAUCGUAGAUCAGCAUGCUACGGUGAAUACGUUCCCGGGUCU
rnacentral:rRNA from 1 species